GUUGAAAAGCUAAGUUUAGGGUAAAAAACCACAUGAGUUCCAAAAUCCCAGAUAAGUGCGAAAAAAAGAAAAAAAAAGAGAAAAUCAUCGAGAGAAAAAGAAAAAAAAAUAUAAAUAAACUCAAAGGUUCAAAAGAAGCACGAGCCAAAGAUGGGCACUCGGUUGAAAAAUAGAAAGAAAGAAAAAAAGAGAAUCCGAGCGAAAAACAAACCAACACAGUAAACAUGAUGGUAACA
rnacentral:lncRNA from 1 species